rnacentral:rRNA from 1 species
UACGUAGGGCGCAAGCGUUGUCCGGAAUUAUUGGGCGUAAAGAGCUCGUAGGCGGCCUGUUGCGUCCGCUGUGAAAUCCCGGGGCUCAACCCCGGGCCUGCAGUGGAUACGGGCUGGCUAGAGGCAGGCAGGGGAGAAUGGAAUCCCGGUGUAGCGGUGAAUGCGCAGAUAUCGGGAGGAACACCGGUGGCGAAGGCGGUUCUCUGGGCCUUACCUGACGCUGAGGAGCGAAGCGUGGGGAGCGAA